rnacentral:rRNA from 1 species
GACGAACGCUGGCGGCGUGCCUAAUACAUGCAAGUAGAACGCUGAAGGAGGAGCUUGCUUCUCCGGAUGAGUUGCGAACGGGUGAGUAACGCGUAGGUAACCUGCCUGGUAGCGGGGGAUAACUAUUGGAAACGAUAGCUAAUACCGCAUAAGAGUAGAUGUCGCAUGACGUUUGCUUAAAAGGUGCAACUGCACCACUACCAGAUGGACCUGCGUUGUAUUAGCUAGUUGGUGAGGUAACGGCUCACCAAGGCAACGAUACAUAGCCGACCUGAGAGGGUGAUCGGCCACACUGGGACUGAGACACGGCCCAGACUCCUACGGGAGGCAGCAGUAGGGAAUCUUCGGCAAUGGACGGAAGUCUGACCGAGCAACGCCGCGUGAGUGAAGAAGGUUUUCGGAUCGUAAAGCUCUGUUGUAAGAGGAGAACGAGUGUGAGAGUGGAAAGUUCACACUGUGACGGUAGCUUACCAGAAAGGGACGGCUAACUACGUG